AUGGAAAUUAUAAGCAGGAUAUACCUAGUGCUACCAGUAGAUGAGGUACAACUGAAAAUCCCAAAUUAGCUUAAUGAUAAUCUGAAAGGAAGCGUCCAAUAAAUCAACCAAAAAUAGAAGAGAAAACUCUUCAAGUUCUGAAUCCUCAUCAGAUCAUGUUCAAUAGUGUGCUUCACCAAGGAUACAGUCAGUGUAUCACUUAAAUAUACAAAAUGAAAAGUCAAGUACAAACAUUACUAUCAAAACAUCUCUGGUCAGUCACUCAUUUUUGUAUCUGAUGCAGAGCUAAACUAAAAAGCGUCUCACAGGUACUGAAUGUUUAAUUUGUUUGUCAAGAGAAAAUACUCAGGUUUGACAAUGAAUAAGUAAAAUUUUCAAAUGAAUGUUAAUACCCAUAUAAUGCCGCUACUGGUCUGCCUUUCUCUGCACCAAGUUCCCAAGGUAUAAUUGGACCCCGUAUAAUCAUGUCUGCAUCCAGAAUUACCACCCAAUCAACAUUCUCAGCAUCUUUACUGUGUUUGAGCCAGUGAACAAUUCCAGCAGGUUUGUUAAUUGCAGGAUACCUGCAGAGACCCCCCAAAAAAAAAAGAAAAAAGGUUUACUUUCUUUCUUUCUCACAAGGAAUGGAAGCUCCUGGGUCUUAAACUUUUCAUUUGGAUCUUCAAAUUAAAUAAAUAAAGAAAUGUUAAAGAAGAAGACAAAAAUAGUCGGUCAGUUGCUUCAGAAUUCAGUUCAUCUCUAAAGCAAUACAACUUUUUUCUAGUUUCUUUCUUAUGAUUUUCAAGAUCCAAUGACAUUUAAAAUGGUCCCUAAAGAUAGUUACUAAUAAAAACACAACACAUACAAAUAAUGAUAGUACAAAUGUUAACAAACCAGCAAAGAAGAAAGAAGAAACACACAGACAGACACAGAAGAUGAAUUAUACAUUUAGUGGGCACAUUGAUGAUAUAAUGAGUAGUAAAUAGGAAAGAAAUAUCAUUUCUAAUGGAUUUUCAAAAGAAAUGCAGCAGAAUAAAAAAAACAAAGCAUAUUUAGUGCUAGCAAUUAUCCAAGUACAAUCAGCAAGCCACCGUUUACUCCACAAAAUUCUCAAGGGAAGGUUCCAAUACAUCAACCAAAUUGAGGCGAAAACCAGAAUUCUUAUGUUGCUGUAUUAUAAAGAAGAACCUCACCAUUUGUAAGAAAAAGAAAACUGAAACUAUAAAUGUAAGAUAUAUUUAUUGCUAGUACUAGACAAGAUAAAGCUACCAAGUACCAUUUAGCCUCAAGAAUGUCUCACAGGAGGUUCCAGUACAACAUCCAAAGGAGAGAGAGAGACAAAACCUGAAUUAUCAUAAGUUUAUGUUCUGAAAAAACUUUCCAAUUCCUGGCGAACGAUGGAAAUUAUAAGCAGGAUAUACCUAGUGCUACCAGUAGAUGAGGUACAACUGAAAAUCCCAAAUUAGCUUAAUGAUAAUCUGAAAGGAAGCGUCCAAUAAAUCAACCAAAAAUAGAAGAGAAAACUCUUCAAGUUCUGAAUCCUCAUCAGAUCAUGUUCAAUAGUGUGCUUCACCAAGGAUACAGUCAGUGUAUCACUUAAAUAUACAAAAUGAAAAGUCAAGUACAAACAUUACUAUCAAAACAUCUCUGGUCAGUCACUCAUUUUUGUAUCUGAUGCAGAGCUAAACUAAAAAGCGUCUCACAGGUACUGAAUGUUUAAUUUGUUUGUCAAGAGAAAAUACUCAGGUUUGACAAUGAAUAAGUAAAAUUUUCAAAUGAAUGUUAAUACCCAUAUAAUGCCGCUACUGGUCUGCCUUUCUCUGCACCAAGUUCCCAAGGUAUAAUUGGACCCCGUAUAAUCAUGUCUGCAUCCAGAAUUACCACCCAAUCAACAUUCUCAGCAUCUUUACUGUGUUUGAGCCAGUGAACAAUUCCAGCAGGUUUGUUAAUUGCAGGAUAC
rnacentral:lncRNA from 1 species